rnacentral:misc_RNA from 1 species
CGUCUUCUUAUAAUCCUUCUCAAGCUUUUACGGUUUUUUGCAAUCGUUGCGUUUUUCCUCAAAGAUUGUGUAAAACAUGUAAAUUAAAAUUAUCGGUUUUGUUCUUCAUCGUCUUCUUAUAAUCCUUCUCAAGCUUUUGGGGCAUCCUCGUUUUCUUCCUUCCAAUUUGUAUUGUGAUUAUUUUUCAUCGUUGAUUGAUAAAUUGGAAGGAAGAAAACGAGGAUGCCCCA